rnacentral:rRNA from 1 species
UACAGAGGUCUCAAGCGUUGUCCGGAAUUAUUGGGCGUAAAGGGCUCGUAGGCGGUUUGUCGCGUCGGGAGUGAAAACCAUGGGCUUAACUCAUGGCUUGCUUCCGAUACGGGCAGACUAGAGGUAUGCAGGGGAGAACGGAAUUCCUGGUGUAGCGGUGAAAUGCGCAGAUAUCAGGAGGAACACCGGUGGCGAAGGCGGGUCUCUGGGCAACAACUGACGCUGAGGAGCGAAAGCGUGGGGAGCGAACAGG